rnacentral:rRNA from 1 species
GGGUUAGUAACGCGUGGGAACGUGCCCUUCUCUAAGGAAUAGCCACUGGAAACGGUGAGUAAUACCUUAUACGCCCUUCGGGGGAAAGAUUUAUCGGAGAAGGAUCGGCCCGCGUUAGAUUAGAUAGUUGGUGGGGUAACGGCCUACCAAGUCUACGAUCUAUAGCUGGUUUUAGAGGAUGAUCAGCAACACUGGGACUGAGACACGGCCCAGACUCCUACGGGAGGCAGCAGUGGGGAAUCUUGGACAAUGGGCGCAAGCCUGAUCCAGCCAUGCCGCGUGAGUGAUGAAGGCCUUAGGGUCGUAAAGCUCUUUCGCCAGAGAUGAUAAUGACAGUAUCUGGUAAAGAAACCCCGGCUAACUCCGUGCCAGCAGCCGCGGUAAUACGGAGGGGGUUAGCGUUGUUCGGAAUUACUGGGCGUAAAGCGCACGUAGGCGGAUCAGAAAGUAUAGGGUGAAAUCCCGGGGCUCAACCCCGGAACUGCCUUGUAAACUCCUGGUCUUGAGUUCGAGAGAGGUGAGUGGAAUUCCGAGUGUAGAGGUGAAAUUC